rnacentral:sRNA from 1 species
UACACCCUGCAGUGUUCGAGGUGCUUUCAUUAAACAGCUCUUUGCCUUUGAAACCUUACGGGAGCCAACAACCUCCGUGGAAGAUGCCAGGCCGUAAACCGGAAGGCAGAUGACACGGGGCGGCGCCCACCUUGAUAUAAAAAGGACAUGAGCCUUUGGGCACACGGCACAGGCGGGGUGCCA